CCUACGGGAGGCAGCAGUAAGGAAUAUUGGUCAAUGGACGAAAGUCUGAACCAGCCAUGCCGCGUGAAGGAUGAAGGCCCUCUGGGUUGUAAACUUCUUUUAUCUGGGACGAAAAAAGCUCAUUCUUGAGCACUUGACGGUACCAGAGGAAUAAGCACCGGCUAACUCCGUGCCAGCAGCCGCGGUAAUACGGAGGGUGCAAGCGUUAUCCGGAUUCACUGGGUUUAAAGGGUGCGUAGGUGGGUCUGUAAGUCAGUGGUGAAAUCUCCGAGCUUAACUCGGAAACUGCCAUUGAUACUAUAGGUCUUGAAUCAUCUGGAGGUAAGCAGAAUAUGUCAUGUAGCGGUGAAAUGCUUAGAUAUGACAUAGAACACCAAUUGCGAAGGCAGCUUACUACGGGUGCAUUGACACUGAGGCACGAAAGCGUGGGGAGUCAAACAGGAUUAGAUACCCUGGUAGUCCACGCCCUAAACCGAUGGAUACUCGACAUCAGCGAUACACUGUUGUGUCUGNGNGAGANAUAUAUCCACCNGGAGACGACGCGAGUAGACGUACGAAGAGUAGUAGACGAGAGAGAGCGACGACGACGACGACGGAGGGAGGAG
rnacentral:rRNA from 1 species